rnacentral:rRNA from 1 species
GAUGAACGCUAGCGGCAGGCUUAAUACAUGCAAGUCGAGGGGCAGCACGGUUAGCAAUAACUGGUGGCGACCGGCGCACGGGUGCGUAACACGUAUACAAUCUACCUUAAACAGGGGAUAGCCUUUCGAAAGAGAGAUUAAUACCCCGUAAUAAAUUGAACGGCAUCGUUUGAUUUUGAAAGCUCCGGCGGUUUGAGAUGAGUAUGCGUCUGAUUAGCUAGUUGGUGAGGUAACGGCUCACCAAGGCGACGAUCAGUAGGGGAUCUGAGAGGACUAACCCCCACACUGGUACUGAGACACGGACCAGACUCCUACGGGAGGCAGCAGUAAGGAAUAUUGGUCAAUGGAGGCAACUCUGAACCAGCCAUGCCGCGUGCAGGAUGACGGCCCUAUGGGUUGUAAACUGCUUUUAUACAAGAGAAAACCCUGGUACGUGUACCAGGUUGAUAGUAUUGUAAGAAUAAGCAUCGGCUAACUUCGUGCCAGCAGCCGCGGUAA